rnacentral:lncRNA from 1 species
AGAAUUUGUAAAACAAUAACAUACAUAUAAAGAAGUUAUAAUGAAUCUGUCAAUAAACAUCUAUUAAACUGGACUAGAAGAUUACAAAAUCACCUUUGGUAAAAGUUUUCAUUGAUACUCAGACCUUUAGACAAAUAUCUGACACUACUUCUACAUAAUUUUAAUUUGACUACAGUAUUAAGAUUGAUUGAUUGAUUAUGUGUUGCUUAAUGUCCAGUGGCAGAUAUUUCAUGCAUGAUCAAGACAAGACUUGAGUGCUGAGCUUAUCAGACAUGCAGUACUUAUCAUGCCCAUAUUUGGUGAUGGAACAUUUUUAAAGAAUGGGUUAUCUCCCAUUAACCCCCAAAUCUCAACUGGAUUUUAGGGGGUGAGGAGCAAUACCUUUUUGUGUUAACCUGCUAUGGCCUUUUUCAAGGUGUUGUUAACUGUUAUCUGAGAUCAAUUUAGACUGUUAACCGUUUUCAACCAACUUUGUUAACUGUUAUCAGCUUUUUUGCAUUUUUUGUUAACUGUUUUUGCCAAAAUCAAAGUGUUGUUAGCAUGUUAAUGGAACCCCUAUUGCCCCCCCCCCCCCCCCCCAUCCAAGAUUAGAUAUGUUCUUCUCAUGCAUUUUAAGUAUGUUUGACAAGUUCAAUAACAAUGUGAAAUAUAAAAAAAAGACUUAGAAAUAAAGACAUUUUAAAUAACCGUCAAAAAAGAGUCACAUUUCGAAAGUUAAAAAAAAAAAUAUAAUGUGUAUUACAUACAGUAUUUUCAAUACUUAAUACAA